GAUCGGGAUAACAACCUGGAAACAGAUGCUAAUACCGGAUAACAACAGAUGAUGCCUAUCAACUGUUUAAAAGAUGGUUCUGCUAUCACUCUUGGAUGGACCUGCGGUGCAUUAGCUAGUUGGUAGGGUAACGGCCUACCAAGGCGAUGAUGCAUAGCCGAGUUGAGAGACUGAUCGGCCACAUCGGGACUGAGACACGGCCCAAACUCCUACGGGAGGCAGCAGUU
rnacentral:rRNA from 1 species